UUAAAGACAGAAUUUGGAACUCCAGAUGCCCUCCAAAUUUGCUUCACAUAUAGGCAAUCAAAAAACAGAUGUGCUUCUGUUUCUUCUUCCAUGAAGCAUCGUUUACAUACCGUAUCCGUUGUAAUUUUCUUAGUUUCAUCAGUCUCCUUGUGCGGAGCUUUAGUAUCAGGAGAUAACGUAUUAUCUGCCUGCUUCGCUUCUCAAUAUUUUGAGCAGUUUGGAUUGUAUGUUUGCCAUUCCUGUUGUGAGAUCUAAACGUGCUUAAUGAAAGUAUUGUUCAGUAUUGUUCAAUAUUUUUUUAAAAUCCAGACAUCAACCACUCGAAAUUACAUCCAUUCCAUUAGAAAUAAGUUGUCAGUCAAAAAAAAGUUAUAAAUAGAAGUAUUAGAUCAAAACCAUCAAUAACUACUGUUCUAGAGAAAGUAUAAUAUGAUAAGAUAAGGCCACUUUGUCUGAUACAACACCAAACAAUCAUGAGUUAACGAAAAACUAAAACCACAGCGAAUCAUAAAAUACCAGUA
rnacentral:lncRNA from 1 species